GAUGAACGCUGGCGGCGUGCCUAAUACAUGCAAGUCGAGCGAACAGACGAGGAGCUUGCUCCUCUGACGUUAGCGGCGGACGGGUGAGUAACACGUGGAUAACCUACCUAUAAGACUGGGAUAACUUCGGGAAACCGGAGCUAAUACCGGAUAAUAUAUUGAACCGCAUGGUUCAAUAGUGAAAGACGGUUUUGCUGUCACUUAUAGAUGGAUCCGCGCCGCAUUAGCUAGUUGGUAAGGUAACGGCUUACCAAGGCGACGAUGCGUAGCCGACCUGAGAGGGUGAUCGGCCACACUGGAACUGAGACACGGUCCAGACUCCUACGGGAGGCAGCAGUAGGGAAUCUUCCGCAAUGGGCGAAAGCCUGACGGAGCAACGCCGCGUGAGUGAUGAGGUCUUCGGAUCGUAAAACUCUGUUAUUAGGGAAGAACAAAUGUGUAAGUAACUAUGCACGUCUUGACGGUACCUAAUCAGAAAGCCACGGCUAACUACGUG
rnacentral:rRNA from 1 species